rnacentral:rRNA from 1 species
UCUACGGGAGGCAGCAGUGAGGAAUAUUGGUCAAUGGGCGCGAGCCUGAACCAGCUAAGUAGCGUGAAGGAUGACUGCCCUACGGGUUGUAAACUUCUUUUAUAAAGGAAUAAAGUGAGGCACGUGUGCCUUUUUGUAUGUACUUUAUGAAUAAGGAUCGGCUAACUCCGUGCCGGCAGCCGCGGUAAUACGGAGGAUCCGAGCGUUAUCCGGAUUUAUUGGGUUUAAAGGGAGCGUAGAGGGGUUUUUAAGGCAGUUGUGAAAGUUUGCGGCUCAACCGUAAAAUGGCAAUUGAUACUGGCAGUCUUGAGUACAGGUGAGGUAGGCGGAAUGCGUGGUGUAGCGGUGAAAUGCUUAGAUAUCACGAAGAACUCCGAUUGCGAAGGCAGCUUACUAAACUGCCACUGACAUUGAUGCUCGAAAGUGUGGGUAUCAAACAGGAUUAGAUACCCUUGUAGUC